UACGUAGGUGGCAAGCGUUGUCCGGAUUUACUGGGUGUAAAGGGCGUGCAGCCGGGAGUGCAAGUCAGAUGUGAAAUCCCGCGGCUCAACCGCGGAACUGCAUUUGAAACUGUGCUUCUUGAGUGCUGGAGAGGCAGACGGAAUUCCUAGUGUAGCGGUGAAAUGCGUAGAUAUUAGGAGGAACACCAGUGGCGAAGGCGACUUUCUGGACUGUACCUGACGCUGAGGCGCGAAAGCGUGGGUAGCGAACGGG
rnacentral:rRNA from 1 species